rnacentral:rRNA from 1 species
GACGAACGCUGGCGGCGUGCCUAAUACAUGCAAGUAGAACGCUGAAGGAGGAGCUUGCUUCUCUGGAUGAGUUGCGAACGGGUGAGUAACGCGUAGGUAACCUGCCUGGUAGCGGGGGAUAACUAUUGGAAACGAUAGCUAAUACCGCAUAAUAGCAGUUGUUGCAUGACAACUGUUUGAAAGGUGCAAUUGCACCACUACCAGAUGGACCUGCGUUGUAUUAGCUAGUUGGUGGGGUAACGGCUCACCAAGGCGACGAUACAUAGCCGACCUGAGAGGGUGAUCGGCCACACUGGGACUGAGACACGGCCCAGACUCCUACGGGAGGCAGCAGUAGGGAAUCUUCGGCAAUGGACGGAAGUCUGACCGAGCAACGCCGCGUGAGUGAAGAAGGUUUUCGGAUCGUAAAGCUCUGUUGUAAGAGAAGAACGAGUGUGAGAGUGGAAAGUUCACACUGUGACGGUAUCUUACCAGAAAGGGACGGCUAACUACGCG